UUGUGCUUGUUCAGAUCGUUGUUAUGUUAUGCUAUGGGAUUCGAUUACUAUUGUGUGAAAGUUACCCUUCUCUUAAGUUAUGUUUUCAACACUUCAUUUGGUUUGAUAUUUAGAUUUUUGUCUUCCAUCCCCAUUGAUAACCAUGAAACCCCUAAACUAUCUGGUGUAUGCAACUAACAGGUAAUUACUCUGUCUAUCACUGGGGCGUUGAAUGCAGUCUUAACUGAAGAACAUAGAAAGGAAAUAUGCCGUUACCUCUAUAAUCAUCAAAACAAGGAUGGUGGGUGGGGUUUGCAUAUUGAAGGUCCUAGCACCAUGUUUGGCUCUGUCUUGAGUUAUAUUACUCUGAGAUUGCUAGGUGAGGGACCUAAUGAUGGACAAGGGGAAAUGGAGAAGGCACGUGACUUGAUUCUAGGGCAUGGCGGUGCUACUUAUAUAACGUCAUGGGGGAAGAUGUGGCUUUCAGUACUUGGAGUUUAUGAAUGGUCCGGAAAUAAUCCCCUGCCCCCUGAGAUAUGGCUCCUUCCAUACAUGCUUCCAUUUCAUGCAGGUAUGUUCCAUUCUUGACGAGACACUGCAAGCAGUUGGUGCUAAAGCAAUGGUGGUCGGACAUACUCCUCAAACUAUAGGUGUAAAUUGUAAAUACAAUUGUACCAUAUGGCUCAAAGAUUGCGGAAUGUGCAGUGGAGUUUUGAAUUCAAGACCAGAGGUUCCUCUAUAAAUUAUAGACGAGAAAGCAAGAGUUAUAAGUUGCAAAAGGGACAGACACAGUGAACUUCAAGCUGCUGAAUAUACUUAAGAAACAAACAAAUGAUUUAACAUGUAUAUUAAAUUACAAGUUGCCUGUUGAUUGAUUCUUUUGUUACAGAUUCAAUUCAAAAUUUGGAAGUAAUUGUUAUUUGUUGACAAGUGUUACACAUUUGUAAGUUGAAACUUUCCACCCAAUUAGAGUUCCCCCUGCCCCCCACCUAAACCAUUCUUUAA